rnacentral:rRNA from 1 species
UACGUAGGGUGCGAGCGUUGUCCGGAAUUACUGGGCGUAAAGAGCUCGUAGGCGGCUUGUUGCGUCGUCCGUGAAAACCCGCAGCUCAACUGCGGGCUUGCGGACGAUACGGGCAGGCUAGAGUUCGGUAGGGGAGACUGGAAUUCCUGGUGUAGCGGUGAAAUGCGCAGAUAUCAGGAGGAACACCGGUGGCGAAGGCGGGUCUCUGGGCCGAUACUGACGCUGAGGAGCGAAAGCGUGGGGAGCGAACAGG